AUUGAACGCUGGCGGCAUGCCUUACACAUGCAAGUCGAACGGCAGCACGGGGGCAACCCUGGUGGCGAGUGGCGAACGGGUGAGUAAUACAUCGGAAUGUACCCAGUAGUGGGGGGAUAACUAGUCGAAAGAUUAGCUAAUACCGCAUACGCACUAUGGUGGAAAGCGGGGGAUCGCAAGACCUCGCGCUAUUGGAGCAGCCGAUGUCCGAUUAGGUAGUUGGUGGGGUAAAAGCCUACCAAGCCUGCGAUCGGUAACUGGUCUGAGAGGACGACCAGUCACACUGGGACUGAGACACGGCCCAGACUCCUACGGGAGGCAGCAGUGGGGAAUUUUGGACAAUGGGGGAAACCCUGAUCCAGCAAUGCCGCGUGUGUGACGAAGGCCUUCGGGUUGGUUAAAGACGUCUUUCGGUU
rnacentral:rRNA from 1 species